AACCCACACAUUUUCUAGAGGGACGGCUUUAGGCGGAACACAACAGUAUCGUACCACAUGCAUCUGCAAGUUUUUUUUCUAUUCAGAAGUUGUAAGAAAUUCCACAUUAAUAUUAUAGUUCAAGCACAAAGAAGGAAAUAUAGAGAUAUCAGCAAAUCCCGGGAGGAACCACCGGUGCAGCCAAUGAUGAACAUAUACCCAAGAACUCUGAUGGGGGACCGGAGGAGGAGCUUCAAGGCGGCCUGGGACCAUAUCCAUCCCUGGCUUGAAUAUUCAAAAAAAAUCUGACUCUGUGUUUUGUUACGCCUGCAGGCAUUUUAGCCCUCCCAGUCUCAGAGACUGUAUUUGAUUCACAAUUGGGUUUUAACAACUGGAAGAAGGCAACUUACAAAGAAGGGGGAUUUGCAAUUCAUGUAAGGUCUGAGCGGCACAAACAAGCAAUGAUUACAUGGAGAGACUAUCAGAAAGCUGUAAAAAGUAAUGCAACACUGGUAAAUGCCCUAAACAAGGAACACAACAAACAGGUUCAAGAAAAUUGGGACUAUAUUAAAACAAUAGGAGAAGUACUACUACUUACAGCCACACAAAACAUUGCACAAAGAGGACACGAUGAGUCUGCAGAGUCCGAUAACAAAGGGAACUUCAUGGCAAUCCUAGAAACAAUAGCUAAGCAUGACACAACAGUGAAAAAAAGGUUGACUUCCAUUCAUAAAGCAAAAUAUACAAGCAAAGGGAUUCAGAAUGAGGUUCUGAGUUGUUUGGCAGACAUGGUUCCAACAAAAAUGAUAGAAGAAGUGAAAGACAGUGAGGGUCUUUAGCCUAAUGGCAGAUGUAACAAAGAUGUAAAAUAAAGGAGCAGAUAUCUCUAGUACUCAGGUACUAUUUCAGAGGAGCUGUCCAUGAGGGCUUUCUCCAUUUUGAAUCGGCUGAUCGACUAGAUGCAGCAGGGCUUACUGACAAAAUCAUACACAUAUUAGAAAGUCAUGGUCUUGAAUACAAAAACAACCUAGUAGGCCAAGCAUAUGACGGUACUUCCGUUAUGAGUGGCAAGCAUUCAGACGUCCAGGCAGGCAUUAAAGAACAAACAAAGCAUGCCUUUUACAUCCACUGCAGUGCACACUGUCUAAACUUAGUUUUAGUGGAUACAGUCAAAGCUGUCCCUGAGGUAGGACAGUUCUUCUCCUUACUAGAAAGACUUUACGUCUUCUAAUCUGGGCCAUAUGUGCAUCAAAAAUGGCUUAGCAUACAAAAAGAGAUGUACCCAGGUGCACCUAGAGAGCUUCAGAGACUAAAUGACACUCGCUGGGCAUGUCGAUAUAUGGCUCUACAUACUAUUAUGGAUAAAUUACCUGCCAUUAAGCGAGUCCUGCAACACAUAGCCCAAGAACAAUGGUGACAGAUCUGUUGAGGCACGAGGUCUGUUGAGGCACAGUUCUGUUGAGGCACAAGGUCUGUUGAGGGACGAGGUCUGCUUGCACAGAUAGAUUUACAAUUCAUUGUGUGCCUUGUUACACUCCAUAAAGUGUUUGGAGAAGCAACAUUUCUAUCAGAUAUGCUACAGUCUUCAUCACUUGACCUGUCAAAGGCUGUUGAUUUAGUUGACGCCUUAGUUCAAACUUUGAAUGACUAUAUGACUAUAUGACUAUAAAAAUAGUAUUUGUUUUUAUAAAAAUAAAUGUCCCACGCUCCACUUUGUUUUCAUCCUGUAUUGAACGCAGUUUAUCCCGUCUUAAAUUUUAUCGAUUAUUUACGUAAAAAAAUACCUAAAGUUGUACUAGGAAAGUUGUUUGAAAUGUUUGGACAAAGAUUACAGGUAACUUAUGAGAUAUUUUGUAGUCAUGUUGCGCGAGUUGGAACCGGUGUUUUUCUGGAUCAAACGCGCCAAAUAAAUGGACAUUUUGGAUAUAUAAAGACGGAAUUAAUCGAACAAAAAGGACCAUUUGUGAUGUUUAUGGGACAUAUUGGAGUGCCAACAAAAGAAGCUCGUCAAAGGUAAGGC
rnacentral:lncRNA from 1 species